rnacentral:misc_RNA from 1 species
CUUUUUUCUCUCUAAAAAAAAGUCCUGUGAAUGCAUAUAUUAAAAAAAUGUACAUCACCGAAUAGUUCAAGAACGUUUUGGUUACACAUUUUCACAGCCGAGAAAUUAUUACUUCUGUAACUUUUUCUUCCUAGCACAGCAAGUCAGCUAGUCUCACAAAAGGUUUGAACAAAAAGCCAUAGCAUAACAUUCAAAACAAUGCAAAAAGCCCUCAA